UACGUAGGGCGCAAGCGUUGUCCGGAAUUAUUGGGCGUAAAAAGCUCGUAGGCGGUCUGUCGCGUCGGCUGUGAAAACCCGAGGCUCAACCUCGGGCCUGCAGUCGAUACGGGCAGACUAGAGUGCUGUAGGGGAGACUGGAAUUCCUGGUGUAGCGGUGAAAUGCGCAGAUAUCAGGAGGAACACCGGUGGCGAAGGCGGGUCUCUGGACCGAAACUGACGCUGAGGCGCGAAAGCGUGGGGAGCAAACAGG
rnacentral:rRNA from 1 species